rnacentral:hammerhead_ribozyme from 1 species
AUCCAGCCGACGAGUUCCAAAUAAGACGAAACGCGCGUCCUGGAU